rfam:Selaginella moellendorffii unplaced genomic scaffold SELMOscaffold_68, whole genome shotgun sequence.
GGGUCUUGGGAUAUUUGGGGUUAAGCGUCCUUGGGUUUGAAUAGUACUGGGCUGGGUGACCUCCUAGGAAGUCCAAAUUCAAGAAGCU